UACGAAGGGGGCUAGCGUUGCUCGGAAUCACUGGGCGUAAAGGGUGCGUAGGCGGGUCUUUAAGUCAGGGGUGAAAUCCUGGAGCUCAACUCCGGAACUGCCUUCGAUACUGCGGGUCUCGAGUCCGGGAGAGGUGAGUGGAAUUCCUAGUGUAGAGGUGAAAUUCGUAGAUAUUAGGAAGAACACCAGUGGCGAAGGCGGCUCACUGGCCCGGUACUGACGCUGAGGCGCGAAAGCGUGGGGAGCAAACAGG
rnacentral:rRNA from 1 species